rnacentral:scRNA from 2 species
GGUUAUUGUUAAGUUGAUUUAACAUUGUCUCCCCCCACAACCGCGC